UACGUAGGGUGCAAGCGUUGUCCGGAAUUAUUGGGCGUAAAGAGCUCGUAGGCGGUUUGUUGCGUCGGCUGUGAAAUCCCGAGGCUCAACCUCGGGUCUGCAGUCGAUACGAGCAAACUAGAGUGUUGCAGGGGAGACUGGAAUCCUGGUGUAGCGGUGAAAUGCGCAGAUAUCAGGAGGAACACCGGUGGCGAAGGCGGGUCUCUGGGCAACAACUGACGCUGGAGGAGCGAAAGCGUGGGGAGCGAACAGG
rnacentral:rRNA from 1 species